GAAUGCUGACAUAAGUAACGAUAAAGCGGGUGAAAAGCCCGCUCGCCGGAAGACCAAGGGUUCCUGUCCAACGUUAAUCGGGGCAGGGUGAGUCGACCCCUAAGGCGAGGCCGAAAGGCGUAGUCGAUGGGAAACGGGUUAAUAUUCCCGUACUUGGUGUUACUGCGAAGGGGGGACGGAGAAGGCUAUGUUGGCCGGGCGACGGUUGUCCCGGUUUAAGCGUGUAGGUGUGUGUUCCAGGUAAAUCCGGUUCACUUUAACACUGAGGCGUGAUGACGAGGCACUACGGUGCUGAAGCAACAAAUGCCCUGCUUCCAGGAAAAGCCUCUAAGCAUCAGGUAACAUCAAAUCGUACCCCAAACCGACACAGGUGGUCAGGUAGAGAAUACCAAGGCGCUUGAGAGAACUCGGGUGAAGGAACUAGGCAAAAUGGUGCCGUAACUUCGGGAGAAGGCACGCUGACACGUAGGUGAAGUGAUUUACUCACGGAGCUGAAGUCAGUCGAAGAUACCAGCUGGCU
rnacentral:rRNA from 1 species